UAAUUCCAGCUACUUGGGAGGCUGAGACAGGAGAAUCACUUGAACCUGGGAGGCGGAGGCUGCAGUGAGCAGAGAUUAUACCACUGCACUCCAGCCUGGGCGACAGAAUGAGACUUCCUCUCAAAAAUAAAAAUUGAAGAAAAAAGUGGUGUUUUGUAGCAAUAAGGACAUUCAAAAUCAUAAUUGUAGCAGGUAGAUGAAUGUCCUCCUUUAGAUAGCCACAUCCUAAUCCCCAGAACCUAUGAGUAUGUCAGCUUAUGUGUCAGGAGGAAGUUAAGGCUGCUGAUGAGCUGACCUUAAAAUAGAGAGAUUAUCCUGGAUUACAGGAUAGGCUCGAUGUAAUUACAAGGGUCCUUACUGUAAAAGAGAGAGGCAGAGGACUCAGUAUUGGGUGAUGCAUUGGGAGAAGACUUGAUCGGCCACGGCUGGCUGUGAAGAUGGAGGAAGGGACCAUGAGCCAAGGAGUCUCGGCAGCCUCUAGAACCCAGAAAAGGUACCAUCUGCUGACUUCCCACAUCAGAAGUCGUUAAGAAGUCCAGAACCAGGGGGAGGACUCAAGAUGGCGCUGUGAGAACAACCCAGGAUUGGAGCUCUCGUUGAAUCCGCAAAGAGGCUCUUCUCUGUCACCCAGGUUGGAGUGCAGUGGUGCAGUCAUGGCUCACUGUGGCCUCAAACUCCUGGGCUCAAGUGAUCAUCCCACCUCAGCUUCCCAAGUAGCUGGGACUACAGGUUUAAAGACCCUGUCUCCAAAUACAGUCACAUUCUGAAGAAUUGGAGGUUAAGACUUCAACAUAUGAAUUUUGGAAGGAACACAAUUCAGCCCAUGACAUCCCUUAAUACCAGUACGUUUGCCAACCCAAGGUGUCAAUUUCUUAGUUAGCUGCUUGCUGAUACUCAUGUACAAUACAAUAAUAAAAGUGGGUACCAUAUUAUUGAACAUUUCCUAUGUGCCAGGAACUGUUCCAUGUGCUUUACCCAUAUGAACCUAUUAAUCCUCAUUAUAACCCUAUGAGGUAAACAUUAUUAUUAACCCAUUCUACAGAUAAGGAGAUUGAGGCUCAAGUGAGCAAUGAAGUAGGAUUUGGACCUGGGCAAUCUGGAUCUAGAACUCAUUUUAAUAGUGAUCUCAUUUUCAGGAAUUCAAAUCAAUAGAAAGGUAAAAUUAUAAGUCUUGAAAAAUGUAUAGAAAUUCAAGAAGUCUUUCAGAGAAUUGCUUGAAAGAGACCCAAAAUCAGAAAGAAAAGAGCAUCUGGAAGUAGACUUGUUAAAUGAGAAAGAAAACAAAAUUGAUGAAGACAUCAAAGGACCACAAAAGUGAAUUAUUUGAGUAUAAAAGCCAUAAUGAG
rnacentral:lncRNA from 1 species